GAAUCUGGGAGAGGAGGAAGAAAUCAAAUACACACAGAACUUCACUCAACAUCAAUAACAUACCUCCAAAUACAUAAAUAAGCCCAGGUUACACUGGGCCCAAGAGGCUAGAGUGAGCAUUCUUGUGUGCAUCCCCCCCUCCUAGGCUGGGGUUCAGUGGGCAGGACGAGCUCACCCUGAGAAGUAGUAAGGACCCCGGGGAAAGCUACCCUCCAAAAGACCACCUCAGCUCCCUGUGUUGCCCCAUCCCCCUGUUCUAUCUCCCUGGUUCUGUCCAGCUUUCCAUCUUAGCAGCUCUGUUUGCUCUAAGGCAUUGAUCUCUGGCCUGCGGUCCUUCCGUCCACCCUGGAUCAAUGGUCAGAAAAUAACCUGAGAGGGCAUAGGGCUUUCCCUCAGCCUCCCAGCCCUCCUCCUAUCAUAGGUGAUAACUUUUCAUGGGCCAGUGUCUGCAGGGAGCCUUCCUCAAGCCCACCUAGGCUGGGAGGGUGACUUAGAGAGGGAAGGGAUCUGGGGACAUGACUGGGACAUCUCAUGGUAAAUAUGAGGAAUGGCCCAAGGUAGGGCCUAAAGACUAGCUGAAAAAUCUUAUUCAGGGGCCAGCAUGGUGGGACAUGUCCAUAAUCCCAGCACUUGGGAGUGGGGUAGAAAUGGAGGUAGGGGCUUUCCUAAGUUAGAGGCUGGUUAAGGUUACAAAGUAAAAGUUCAAGGCCAGCCUGGGCUAUAAAGAGAGAUCCUAUUUCAAACCACCACCAACAAAAUAUUUUCCUGAGUUCUGGUCCUAUUAUAAGAUAUUAACAUAUAAGCUGAUUGGCUGCUAGGAUUCUGAGCCCUCCUCUUUUGCCUUGCUGCUGAUAAAGUUGUAUUGAAGUCAAAGCAGAGGCUUCUGGCACAUGUAGGUUUUCCUUUUCUGGGGACACUUUAAAGGUUUGGAAGAGUGAGAUGAUGGGGGGUUGGAGCCCCUGUUGCCUCCAGGCAGCAGUGGGCAAGAAAGAUGACUGGGGCCAGGGAAGGGACUAAAAUUGUUCACAGUAGAGAGAGGAGAUGCUGAAUAAUGAAAUCCUCAUCUUGGUGUGAGGAUUUACUAUCAUUUCUGGCAGUGGAGGCUGGAGGUGCUGAGACCUUGCCCUUCUCUUUAAAGUGAGUGUAGUAAGAGGGGCUAUUAAAGCUAGCCAGGGGGACUCUCCGCAACGGAAAAAAAAAAUAGUAUGCUCAGAAUGGGGGUAGGGCACCAUCAUUCCUGGAGAAUCCAGUAGCAUCUGUUUCUAGUGACAUUUCAAGGUCCCUGCAGUGUGUGUACACACGCAUGCACUGUCUAAACAUUAACUGUGAGUUGUCUGUGGCUAUUCCUGGUACAAAUGGGUGGAGGACAGAGUGUCUGUUACGUGUGUUUCAUGUAUGUGGGGGCAUCCCUUUACUAGGGGAGGUCUCCCCAGCUUCCUUCUGGCCUUAGUGAGGAAGUGGUGCGGGUAAGAAGAGUGGAGGGAGAAUGUGAGUGAGAAGGUGGGUGUGUGUGUGUGUGUGGAGGUGGAUUGA